UCUUUGCUAGUAUAUCGGUUAGUACACGCGCCUGUCAUCACCGUCUUAUCUUUGACCGCGCGAAAGCUGGGUUCGACUCCCAGGCAAAGAG